AUCGACGACGAUGACGGCGAUGCAGCCGCCGCCGAGUUCUACCAGCCAGUCUCCGCCGUCGACUCCGAAGACGACGAAGACCAGAUCGGAAACGACGCCGUCCCGAUCCACUCCCAGCUGCACUCCAACGGCGUCACCGUCAAUCAGAUCGACAGAGGAAUCUCGUCUCUCCAGCUAAACGACGGCGUCGGGCGCAAUGAUCGCUUGAACAGCAGCAGCGAUGACGAAGCGGAAGCAGAAGAAGUGGAGGAGGAGGUCGCUUCCGACUCGGAGAUAAUUAGGG
rnacentral:lncRNA from 1 species